CCACACAACCAAUCAGUUGACGGGCACCACCUGCUCACUCACACCCACACAGAAGAGGAGAUAAACCAAGCAGAGCUCCGACGACAUAAUGACCCAGGGUCAUAACAGGAAAUGGGCCAUCAUCAUAUGUGAUGACACGCCACUUUCCAACAAGGACUUUAGUGACGUCAUCAACUGGAACGAGAGUCCCUUCACACCGAGAGCUUGAGGUGGAUGACUUCCAUCUCCUGGGGCUGUUGGUUCAUGUUCAUACAUCUCUUCCAGGCUGCACAAUAGGAGCAUGACUUUGGCAAAAGAGGAAGGAGUGUGUCAUACAGGGCUUUCGCUGUGGACAUGUCAGUACCCUUGGCUACCUGUGAAUCAGCAGUUCUCUUCAUGGUGGCUCCAAUGCCAUCGGCAGGCCCUUUCCCG